rnacentral:rRNA from 1 species
GUGGGGAAUAUUGGGCAAUGGGCGCAAGCCUGACCCAGCAACGCCGCGUGAAGGAAGAAGGUCUUCGGAUUGUAAACUUCUGUCAUUGGGGACGAAGGAAGUGACGGUACCCAAUGAGGAAGCCCCGGCUAACUACGUGCCAGCAGCCGCGGUAAUACGUAGGGGGCGAGCGUUGUCCGGAAUUACUGGGCGUAAAGGGUGCGUAGGCGGCGAUGCAAGUCCAUUGUGAAAAGCCCGGGCUUAACCUGGGAGGUGCAGUGGAAACUGCAUGGCUUGAGUGCAGGAGAGGAAAGUGGAAUUCCGAGUGUAGCGGUGAAAUGCGUAGAUAUUAGGAGGAACACCAGUGGCGAAGGCGGCUUUCUGGACUGUAACUGACGCUGAGGCACGAAAGCGUGGGGAGCAAACAGGAUUAGAUACCCUUGUAGUCC